GAGAUUCCCCCAGUAGCGGCGAGCGAACGGGGAGCAGCCCAGAGUCUGAAUCAGCUUGUGUGUUAGUGGAACGGUCUGGAAAGUCCGACGGUACAGGGUGAUAGUCCCGUACACCAAAAUGCACAGGCUGUGAACUCGAAGAGUAGGGCGGGACACGUGGUAUCCUGUCUGAAUAUGGGGGGACCAUCCUCCAAGGCUAAAUACUCCUGACUGACCGAUAGUGAACCAGUACCGUGAGGGAAAGGCGCA
rnacentral:rRNA from 1 species